UACGUAGGGGCUAGCGUUGUCCGGAAUCAUUGGGCGUAAAGCGCGCGUAGGCGGCCCGGUAAGUCCGCUGUAAAGUCAAAGGCUCAACCUUUGAAUGUCAGUGGAUACUGCCGGGCUAGAGUCCGGAAGAGGCGAGUGGAACUCCUGGUGUAGCGGUGGAAUGCGCAGAUAUCAGGAGGAACACCGGUGGCGAAGGCGGUUCUCUGGGCAUUACCUGACGCUGGAGGAGCGAAAGCAUGGGGAGCGAACAGG
rnacentral:rRNA from 1 species